CAGCGAUGUAUCGAUGCUUUUUUUCGAACAUCGAUGUUAUCACUAAGAGAUACACACGCAAAGCAAGUGUUUGAUACAGGUAAAACAUAUUAGGGCGGUUCCUCUCGGCACAAUGGACAGGUUUCUGCACAUAACAAACCACGUGUCUGCUGCUUCGUCGUCUGCUCCAACGUCUGCUGCCGGCCGCCGAGAAAACACACCCCUCUGAUUUGUACGGAUUUAUGGCCGAAAAAGUCAAAAAUAAGCCAAGAACUUGGAGAUCCGAUGCAAUAAUCGAAAUGCGGCAAUAUUUCGAGCAACAGAAUGCGCAUCAGAAAAUAGAUCCGCUCGAAUACUGGAGGGUUAAUGAAGUUCAAUUCAGCAAUCUUGCGCAGUGCGCGUUAAAAUAUUUAUGUAUACCUGCGACAUCUACUGACUCGGAAAGGACUUUCAGCAAGGCAGGACAAAUCGCGGACGAAAAGAGAUCUCGACUUAAACCUAAAACUUUGAACAUGCUGUUGUUUUUACAGAAAAACCAGUGGAUUAUUAGUUAAGAUAUAGAUAUCGAUUAGAUAAGUAAGAUAAGUAAGAACUGAACUGAACUGAACUGAACUGAACUGAAGUGAACUGAACUGAAAUAAUGUGAUUCCAUUUUUCUUUAUGAUUUCGUUAAAAUAUGUAUUAAGAUUAUGCUUUUUUAUUUGUUUCUGAAAAUAUUGUUGUUGUUUUGUUUGAAUAAAUAUAAGUUUAUAAUAAGUUUCAUAAAAA